rnacentral:lncRNA from 1 species
CCGGAUCGAGGGCGUCAACCACCACCAGAAGUGCCGCCACCUCGUCGACCAGUACCUCGAGUCCACCCGCGGCGUCGGGUGGGGCAAGGACCACCGCCCGGCGGACCUCCACGGUACCGCCGCCCAAAUCCUAACUCUGCCUUCAGGCCAUGGUCUAGGUUUGUUUCACUGGCUGAUAUGGUUUGGUUGUUUGGUGUCGCGCAGAGCCCAAGAAGGUGGUCGAGGUCGAGGAGUAGCACGGUCGCUUCCGUCGCCGUUCCUGGAAUGGAGAGGUCAGGGUGCUUCUUGUUAUGCUCAGAAUCUUAGUUAUUAUGCACAUGAUUUGUUUCAAAUGUACGCACGAUGCAGCCUAUAGUGAAAUGCACAUGAUUAAUGUUUAUCAUUCCAUUCACCCACUUCAGAUUUCUGUUUGGGGUCACAUCGCCGUGCUUAGAUAGUUGGGAGCUUGGGAAUGGUGUAGUAGUAGAACACCAAACAUUAGCACUGGUGAACAUUUUUGGUUUAUAGGGGGUUUGAACUAGGACAAAAGGUUUUGUCGAGGAGUUGAGGAGGAAGGGGUUUGAACUGGAAGGGUGUUUGUCUUGGCACCUUAACUGUGUGUGCAAACUGUUCUUUCCAGCUUGUACUGAAAUGGAUUUUCCUCUUGUCGAACAACAAAUACUGCUUGUCAUGCGGACGAGGGGUAUAAAUCCUAAAACUUCCCAAAGAAAUAUCCCUCACUCAAAUGCCCACCAAGUUUACUCAUGACUUAUCCCCGGACCAAACCUGGGUGAAAAGGAGAUAUAUGGUAAUGGGCUAGCAUCAUUUUCCCUAUGUUGUUACCUCGCUGCUAAGACUCACUGUUGCCGCUGGCCUAUUUCUUAUUUUGCCUGAACCUAAGAUGUUUGAAUGAAGAUCUACAUGAAGUCAACUUUAUAUAGUGUGUACAUUUAGUGAUAUUUGAAUGAAGGUCUACAUGAAGUCAACUUUAUAUAGUGUGUACAUUUAGUGAUAUCCAGACAACUAAUAUUUUUGGAUGUUUUUGGUUCUUGCGGUCAUAUUUCCCUGGAUCAAAUCAUGAUUGAUUCGUAAUUUAUUAGCCAUCAUCAUACUUUAUCUGGCCUAACGCUGAAAGGAUAUCAUGAUUCACACAUCCAUGCUAUAACCUUGUUCACCUCAAUUGUUAGUAAAGCUGGAUUGCUGAGAUGUGCUCUGCUACUCAGGCCCAGGUAACGGGUACUGACUAACAAAGGCAGUCUGUUCUUUCAGAGUACGAGGAGUAUCUUUGCUAAGCAAAUUUGUCAUUGCAUCACCCCUUUUGGGAGUGAGCUAAAGCUACUCUUGAUGUCUGAAAUCACUUUUAAGUUACUUUUGAACAGUUGAAACAACUAGUCCAUCAGUUCCGUAAUUCUUGUGGUGGUUUUAGUUCAACUAAAACCAUAACAAGAAUUAUGGAACGGAGGGAGUAGAUAGUACCAUGGACUAACACAGGCUAUCUGCUCUUUCAGAGUCGAGUUAUACAAGGAGUAUCUUACUAUCACUAAGCGAUUUGUCAUUGUGUCAUCCCUUUAGGGCAAUUGGGCUAACACUACACUUGAUGUCUGAAAUCACUUUAAAUGUUACUUUUAAACAGUUGAAACAACUAGAUAGCUAAUUUCUUCAUGUAAUUGCUCACACAUUCUUGAAGAACCACUGCAUGAAUUCAUCUUUAACAGUUUCUUAAAGUCCAUGUAAGACAGUACGAGGGUUUAUCUGAUUUUCUUACUGGGAACAUCAUCUUCCACUACUCAAGCCUCGUAUCAUAUUCUCGUUUCAGGAAAAAAUAAAGAUCGUGGAGUCGCUUUUGAUUGAAUAUAUAAUUUUCUUAAUAUCGGAGUGAAAGAAAUUUAGUUGCACAUAUUAUUUAUUGCUACUUACUAGAGCAUCUACUUGCCAUGUCUCACCAUUUUUUAAAUUUUAUUGAAUGCUACUCCCUCUAUCAAAAUAUAAGACGCUUUUUGAUACUAUGGUAGUGUCAAAAAAUGUCUUAUAUUUUCAUACAGAGCGAGUAUCUACUAUUUUGAUUAUUCUGCCUCAUCUGUCUGUAAUUAAUCGUCCUUCUAUUUUCUACCUUGCAAAUGCAUUUCAACUGUCUAAGAAUUCUGGUGACUGUGAUCUGUUGGAAUAAAGUAGACCAUAACACUGACCCUUCUAUUUGACGCGCAGGUCAUCUUUCCAUUCGAAGUGAAGGAAGUUACUUGAACUGCCACAGCUCCUCUCUUACCUCUGAAGUUGCUGAUAGGCAUUUAAUAAAUGAUGAUGCGAAGCAAACAUUGUUGUGUGGUGUCUGUAUUUUUUUUUGUUAACUUCAAGGAGUUAAGCAAAUCGUUGCUUGGACUUACCUACCCUGUUUCCAAUUUCAUUUAUACAAAUGAUGUUUAGUUGCCUUUGCCUUUGCAUCUUGAGUUUACAAGUGUGUAUGAAAGACGGCUCUUGCUGUGCUGUACAAGUUCUUUCUACUCUGUCACUGUGCUGCUUUUUUUGGUAUUAAAUGGGCUGCACAUUGCCGUACUGAAUGAAAUGGGGAGGCAGCCGAGAUUCAGGUCCCUUCGGAGAAUGCAAACCAGAGGUUCAUGUUACUAGAGCUUCCAAAACAGAAUAUAUCAUUUCUAAUUAUUCGGAGAAUGCAAACCAGAGGGUCGUGUAACUAGACUUUCCAAAACAGAAAGAUUAUAAACAGAGUAUAACAUUUCUAGUUAACUGGUACUGAUCCUGAUGCUAUAGAGCUACAUACAUUCUGCCUGACACAACAGGGGGGGUGCUCUAGAAAAACUAGGGGGGUGCUGGAUAUAAUAACGUUUUCAGGUCAAUAUGCUCAUAUGGUAAUGCUGAAAAAGUUUGUCAGAACCGAUACGUCAAAGCAAGCACGAUUGCUCCAGUUGCAACUUCCGGAUUUGUUUGCCCCAGUAGAAGUUGAAUUUUCUGCAAACUGGGGCAGUGGUGCUUGCUUUGACGUUGCCAUUCAUCCAGUACUCAUCAAACUGCAUCAUGUGUCAUGUGUGCUCUAAUUUUCAACCUCAAAAUAAAACUUCACAUUUUCAACAGCACAUGAAGUUGUAAAUAUUCAUCAACCACGGUCCCAAAAACUGAACAAAUUUCUAGUAAAGGAAAAUAGGUCAUUAUUCAAAACAUGAAGUUAGAGCGGCCAGAAAAUAAAACAAAAUAAAGCAAUGAAUGGUUGCAAUGCAAAAUGCUUAUGGCUAUCUUGUUCACCUUUUCAACUGAAACUGAUACAGAUAACAGCCAAAUUCUUCCCUGCUGUUUUCACACUCUAAAGAAAAGUAAGGCACUAUCACAAUAUCGCUAUAAGGAAAACAUGCCAUGAUGCAGCCAAUAAUCUGGAGUUGCACAGAGUCCAGUAAAACAUGCAAGUGCACUCAAGGUUAAACAUUUCAAAUUAUGAAGGAAUAUGUGGAAAGGUUGCCCUCAUGCAACUUACAAACGCUUCAAAUUAUGUUACUCCAUAAAAAAGUGGAGUAGCAAGCAGGAAUCCAUGUUCACAUUAUAGGAUAAUCAUAUGUGCUUAUGAGAGUUUCUCCAGUAAAACGAAUUUCAUAAACAGAUAGUCAAGCAUAGGGUAAAUGACAUCAUUGCAGGUACAUGUAUAUAUUUAACUCUGGUCACAGAUGUAAAAUUCAGUUUUCGAUGAUAGAACCGGUGCCACAGACAGAACUGACUCAAGUUUGAAUUUCAAAUGCUAAAAGUUCAGAGAAUAGCAUCACCCCUUUCUUUCAAGGAGGCGAUAAAACUUUCGGAGCUCCGGUAUCAUUGGAAACAUAUUCAUCAUCGCAGUACCACUAAGAUUUUGGGUUGCCAUUCAUCCAGUACUCAUCAAGAACAAAAGGUUUGCACAUCCAGAACAAAUAUAUCUUCUUCAGAACUUGGCUUCUGUUCCCCCACUUUUGUUCUAACUAAACUGGGUGAAGCAAAUUACGAAGAACAGAAAGAUACCUAAACAACCGGUAUGACAGGAGCAAGGAGAGAGGAUUUACAUUGCAGGUCCUCCGCUUGCGGCUGGUUGAAACCCAAGUAAAUCCAGAACCUGUUAAUCCCCAUCUCCCCAUCCUAAUUGGUUGCUCGUUAUUCCCCUCGAGUCUUGUAACCAUCCUGCCACCUCACAUUUCCCCCAGACAUGAAAGAAUUGCAGGUUUGCGAGCAAGCUAUGCCGAGCAAAUCCAUCUCAUUUCACAACAGCAUGAUUGCUCUGCUGCUCCUCCUCCUUGAGGGCCACGUCGUCCUUGUGAACCAUAUCCCAGAAGAAAUCAGUAAGGACAAUCUCGUAGCCGGGCAUCUUCGCGUAACCGGGGAAGUAGUUGAUGUCAAUGACGAGAUACCGGUUCCCGGCACGAACAUCCCGGAUCAUGUCGAAGUUGAAGAGCUGCAGGCCCAGGGCACGGCGGAGCCCGCCUGCGAUCUCGUUGACGAAAUCAGUGGGCGGCAUGACGGCGUCCUCGAGCCGCAUGUCCUCGUAGUACUCCUCGGCCGUGCGCUGAUUGGGGAGAUUGGAUACCUGCGAGAAGGAGAUGGUGCCCUCGGCGGCGGCGUCCUCGAGGAUCUCCUUGGAGACGUCCGGUAGGCUGCGGCGCUUGACGCAGGUGACGUGGCCGCCGACGACGUAAACCUUGAAUAUGACGCCGCCGUGGUUGACGAACUCCUGCAGGACGAGCGGCGGGCGGAGCUUGCGGAGCCCCUCUCGGUGGUAGACGAGGGACAUCUUGUGCGACUUGGCGCUGCCGUCGGCGACGAGGGGCUUGGCGAUGAGCGGGAAGCGGAGCGCGGCGAGGAGGCCCGAGUCGGCGAGCGCGGCGGCGUCGUAGACGACGACCUGGCUGGGGAUGCCGAAGGUGUGGCGGUGGCCUUCGCCGUCAGCGGAGGCGGAGGCGGCGUCGGUGAGCGGGACGUCGAGCUCGGAGACGACCUGGAGCAUGGAGAUGCGGUUGUGGAGGCGGUCGAUGGCGUGGGGCGGGUCGACGACGGGGACGGAGGGGUAGCGGGCGGAGAAGGCCUGGAGCUGGGCGCGCCAGUCGUGGCCGUAGAGCUUGUGGAUGACGAGGUCGAAGGGGCCCUGGUCGGCGAGGGGCCGCGCGUCGUCGACGGGGACGAGGUCCACGCCGCGCGCCGCCGCGCGGGAGAUGAGCGAGGGCUUGAUGAAGCUGUUCUGCUUCUUGGGCGCGAGCGCGUAGCCCACGACGUAGCGGCGGCUGUCGGCGGAGGAGGGCUCGGCGGCGGCGGCGGCGGCGGCGGCGGCCAUUGCGGUCUGGGAGGGUUGGAGGAAUCGGGGAUUUGGAUGGGGUGGAUAAAGGAAGGGGAGGGGUGUGAUGCCCUCUCUUUUAUAAACAGAUCGAUUCGAUCUGGAGUAAUUCUCAGGUCGAAAGAACCCCCUUCGUCUCCUCUCCGCCCUGUCUCCGUGGACCGGGUCUACGCCCGUGGGCUGGCUGCAUUUGUUAACAAUCAUCGUACGAUGCUAAACCCUCAUGGACCAUCUCAUCUUUGUUUUGGGUGUUGGUUAACCAUUGCUGUUCUAGUUUUUCCUUUCCAGGACCUGUUAGUCCUUUUCACGUGAGUUUUUUUUUUCAAAACACAGUCUGAACGCAGACACUCAUGCAUACGUAUAUACACUCAUCCCUAUGAACGCAGCCUUGUAAGCACAUUUGAGAGACUGAGCCGGCAUAUCAUUUUGAGAUUGGCGAAGUCAUCACAGACAUCUUCGUAGUCGACAGAAACGUAUCCUCUCACUUAACGAGCAUCGCCGAAAAGUCUGAAAUAAAUCCAGAAAAAUGAAACUUCAAUUCACACCAAGUUGUUGAUAGCUACACAAGGGAGAAUUGUUAACGUGGUAAGUUACUCAUUUUAUCUAGUUUUAGUAAGUAUAUUCUUUCUAUGUCAUGACCUUACUUGAACAUGAUAUUCUUUCUAGGUCAUUUCAGUAUUUUUUUUAGGUGUCCAAAUGAUACCUUAAUUUGGAUACAUGACUUUUGUCGCACUUUUCCAAAUAGCAUGAGCGGAAAAAUAAUCUCAGUAUGGCUUUUCUGGACUUUUUUUGCAAAAAACAUCAAAAUCUAUUUAUAAAGUUCACAAAAAGUACAAAGCAUCUUAAACAUAAUACAGAUUACAUCAAGGUCUCUGAACCACCAAAUGACCGCUAUCAUCAUCAGAACGAGCCACCGACGCGGCGAUGUCGCCGCUCUCCUACAGAAGCCGACCUAACCUUUGUCAAUGACAAUCGGGAAGUCUUGUGUGCGUGACCUUAAGGACUAGCGCCCUGGAGCUGCAGUCGUCGUCAUUGAACCCUUAGAUCGAUCUGAAGUGCCUGGCAUCAGAUCUCAUCAUCGCACAUGCACUAUGAGAAACCCAAAUAACCUCAUUGUUCUAAAAAACAUAAGGCAUCUUUGGGCAUUAAUCGGCUCAAAUUCAAAUCACAGCACAAAAAAGUGUGAAACACAUGACAUCAACAUGUUUUUCUUCUUUCAAAAGGGGGAAAUACCCCGACCUGUCUAUUUAUUGAUGUACACAGACACAACAAUGGUAAUAAUUUUGCACAAUUAAGAAUGGAAAAUUUGAAUGAUACAAGCAAUUAUUUUAACAAACACCCCUUCCAAGCUAUAUAUAGGACGCAUAGGGUUUCAUUAAGAAAAUGAUUUAAUAAAGAAUUACACCAAUUAUAUAUGGUUUAGAUGGUAUAAAUUUACCCCUAAAAAAGAUGGUAUAAAAUUACAACGUUAAGGAAGUAGUUUUGGAAGCGAAUACAAUGAAACCAAUGUCAUCAUAAAAAUAUACUCCUUUCGAUACAUAUUAAUUGUCGCUGAUUUAUACUGGACAAAUGUUUCUAUUAACGUAACACAAUACAGUCUACAUAAAAGAACUAAGAAAAAAAGUAUCUAUUCGACGCAGUCACCCCCUCCUCUCCCAAGAGAGUAUAGAUUCCUCUUGCCCCCAUUGUCACCAUCGCCGGUCCUGCCUCGCGUGCGAUGGCCCUAGGGCCAUGGAGGUGUGUGCCGGCGUCCUGGGAACGGGGGUCCCAGACUUGCCUGUCUGCGGCCCACGUCGUGGCUCCAUCAGCGGCCCCGUACGGCCCAUCUUCACCAGCAAACACACAAGACCCUCGCGAGGCGGACGACGCAAGACCUUCUCGGGGGCGGCCUCACCAGGCCGGCUCGUGAGGGCCGGAGAGAUCAAGGCAAGGGGCACCUCGCGAGGUUCCUGUGACGCAAGCCAUGACGACCAGGGCCAAGCGGGCGCCAGCGCGCGUAGUGUCCUUAUUUCCUCUUUGGUGUUAAAGAGGCAAGCGCAGGCGAGGAGUCUCCAGGCAUCAGGCAAAGGUUUCCAUAUCAGUGCAACGAGACCAAGACCAUCAGGACGGCAGGACGGAGGUCACCGUGGAACCCAGGACAGUGUCACCACCAGAACCUUUGGCAGGCGAAGGCCACCUUUUGUCAGGAUACCUUGUACUAGUUGUCCCCCUUCGAAUUGGUUGUUGUGGGAUCCCUUCCCGCUUAAUAUUUGGAAAGAGGACCAGGGCCUCUAUAAAUAGAGCUAGCCACCACUGUAGGAGGCAACUAGAGAGAGAUCCAUUCCACCCACAUACGCACAAGCUCAUCGAGCUCAAGAACACCUCUCCUCAGGAGGUUGUUCUUUCCUUGUACUUGUUCAUCCUCAGCCAACAAGUCAAUCCACCACACCACACUGAAGUAGGGUAUUACACCAUAUCAGUGGCCCGAACCAGUAUAAAUCUUGUGUCCCUUUGUUCUGCGAGUUCGGCGCGCUAAGCCUUGAGAUCGCGGUGAGGGAGAGUGCAAGGGGAAGGAGAGAUCUUCGUGCGCACCCCAGUGUUCGAAUCUCAAGGGUUUUGCUGGAACCCGAAAUCCGACAUUUGGCGCGUCAGGUAGGGGUGCGCCGAAACUCCGCCUCCACGCUUGCUUCGUCCAGCUCCAUGGCAGACGCCAUCCCUCUAGUUAGGCCGGCGGGCGCCUGUAGAUGCGCCGCGGGCAUCCGGGCCUUCACCCACACCUUGCGGCAGGUGCAAUGGCUGCGCAAGUUCAAGCCAGAGGUGUCGCCCCGCUACGAUGGCGCAGCAGAUCCGGCGGCCUUCCUACAUGCGUAUGAGAAGGCCGUCCUCGAAGCCGGGGGCGACGACCAGGUCAUGGCCAACUGGUUCCCCUGGCCCUGGUCGGCGUGCCAUGCGCCUGGCUGCUCAGCUUGCCAGGAUCUUCGGUGACCUCCUGGGAGGAGCUGCGCGGUUAUUACACAUUAUGUCACAAUACUUAUGCCUAUAAAUACGUCCACUUUGCAUCAUGCUUUUACAUCGAUAUUUAUUGCAUUAUGGGCUAUUAUUGCACAUUAUGUCACAAUACUUAUGCCUAUUCUCUCUUAUUUUACAAGGUUUACAUGAAGAGGGGGAAUGCCGGCAGCUGGAAUUCUGGGCUGGAAAAGGAGCAAAUAUAAGAGACCUAUUCUGCACAUCUCCAAAAGUCCUGAAACUCCACGGGAAUUAUUUUCAGAAUAUAUAAAAAAUAUUGGGCGAAAGAAGUACCAGAGGGGGCCACCCACCCUCCACGAGGGUGGGGGCGCGCCCAGGAGGGUGGGGGCGCGCCCUACCCUCCUGGGCGCGCCCCCUGCCUCGUGGGCCGCCUGGUGGCCCUUCGAUGCCCAUCUUUGGCUAUAUGGAGUCUUUCAUCGAGGAAAAAAUCAUAAGCAAGCUCAUGGGACGAAACUCCGCCGCCACGAGGCGGAACCUUGGCGGAACCAAUCUAGGGCUCCGGUGGAGCUGUUCUGCCGGGGAAACUUCCCUCUGGGAGGGGGAAAUCGUCACCAUCGUCAUCACCAACGAUCCUCUCAUCNNNNNNNNNNNNNNNNNNNNNNNNNNNNNNNNNNNNNNNNNNNNNNNNNNNNNNNNNNNNNNNNNNNNNNNNNNNNNNNNNNNNNNNNNNNNNNNNNNNNNNNNNNNNNNNNNNNNNNNNNNNNNNNNNNNNNNNNNNNNNNNNNNNNNNNNNNNNNNNNNNNNNNNNNNNNNNNNNNNNNNNNNNNNNNNNNNNNNNNNNNNNNNNNNNNNNNNNNNNNNNNNNNNNNNNNNNNNNNNAUCUCAAACCCUAGUUCAUCUCUUGUAUCCAAUCUUUGUAUCCAAACCUCAGAUUGGUACCUGUGGGUUGCUAGUAGUGUUGAUUACUCCUUGUAGUUGAUGCUAGUUGGUUUACUUGGUGGAAGAUCAUAUGUUCAUAUCCAUUAUGCAUAUUAAUACCCCUCUGAUUAUGAACAUGAAUAUGCUUUGUGAGUAGUUACGUUUGUUCCCGAGGACAUGGGAGAAGUCUUGCUAUAAGUAGUCAUGUGAAUUUGGUAUUCGUUCGAUAUUUUGAUGAGAUGUAUGUUGUCAUCCCUCUAGUGGUGUCAUGUGAACGUUGACUACAUGACACUUCACCAUUGUUUGGGCCUAGAGGGAGGCAUUGGGAAGUAAUAAGUAGAUGAUGGGUUGCUAGAGUGACAGAAGCUUAAACCCUAGUUUAUGCGUUGCUUCGUAAGGGGCUGAUUUGGAUCCAUAUGUUUCAUGCUAUGGUUAGGUUUACCUCAACACUUCUAUUGUAGUUGCUUGCAAUAGGGGUUAAUCAUAAGUGAGAUGCUUGUCCAAGUAAGGGCAGUACCCAAACACCGGUCCACCCACAUAUCAAAUUAUCAAAGUACCGAACGCGAAUAAUAUGAACGUGAUGAAAACUAACUUGACGAUAAUUCCCAUGUGUCCUCGGGAGCGCUUUCCUUUAUAUAAGAGUUUGUCCAGGCUUGUCCUUUGCUACAAAAAGGAUUGGGCCAUCUUGCUGCACCUUAUUUACUUUUAUUACUUGCUCUCCGUUACAAAUUACUUUAUCACAAAACUAUCUGUUACCGAUAAUUUCAGUGCUUGCAGAGAAUACCUUGCUGAAAACCGCUUAUCAUUUCCUUUCUGCUCCAUGUUGGGUUUGACACUCUUACUUAUCGAAAAGACUACGAUAGAUCCCCUACACUUGUGGGUCAUCAGGACUCUUUUCUGGCGUCGUUGCCAUGGAGUGAAGCGCCUUUGGUAGGUGGAAUUUGGUAAGGAAAAAUUUAUAUAGUGUGCUGAAAUUUACUCUAACUUGUUACUAUGGAACAUAAUCCUUUGAGGGGCUUGUUCGGGGUAUCUUCACCCCGACCAGUAGAGCAAAGAGUUGCUCCUCAACCUACUGAACCUACUGAAAAUGUUUACUUUGAAAUUCCUUUGGGCAUGAUAGAGAAACUGCUAGCUAAUCCUUUUACAGGUGAUGGUGAAAAUACAACUAUCCCUAGGUGGUUUUGGUAAUUCGUAACAACAUAUAUCUCAUUGAGCUAAUGCUAUUUCAAGAUCAAUAUCUCAGGAAAGCUCAAUGAUUGGCAUGGCAUGGAUGAGAAAAGUGGACCUCUCAAAAUGCUAAGGACAAAGGAUUGGCUCAAGCUCAAAGCUCAAGACUCUACAUUUUCUAUUUUAGUGAUCCAAGAUCACAUUGAGUCUAUAGGAAAAGCCAAUACUAUCAAUGAGGGAUGAGGUGUUGCUUAAUGAGGUUCUUGCUCAAAAUGCUUAGUGAUAUGCUCCAAAACCCUCAACUACUUUCUCACAUCCACAUAUGACCUAAACCAAAAGUCAAACUCGGCCCCACCGAUUUUUCCUAUCCGGCGCCACCAAGUUUCAAAUGUCUUAGCCACUGCCACAAACCCUAGGCAAAUCGGUCUCACCGAUAGGGAUCUCGGUCUCACCGAGAUGGGGUUGUAAUCUCUCUGUUUCCUUUCAUAACAUUUCGGUCUCACCGAGAUGAGCGAUCGGUCCCACCGAGAUUGCAAUAUAAACUCUCUGUUUUCCCUUCGUAACAUUUCGGUCUCACCGAAAUGAGCGAUCGGUCCCACCGAGUUUACCUGACCAACUCUCUGGUUAGCUUAUUACCAAAAUUGGUCUCACCGAGUUUGUGUAAUCGGUCUCACCGAGAUUACGUUAUGCCCUAACCCUAAUCAUAUCGGUCCUACCGAGUUGCAUGUCGGUCCCAUCGAAAACCCUAACGGUCACUAGCUUUGCUAAAUCGGUCAGACCGAGUUUAACCAUUCGGUCCCACCGAGUUUGGAAAGUUAUGUGUAACGGUUAGAUUUUGUGUGGAGGCUAUAAAUACCCCUCCACCUCCUCUUCAUUCGUGGAGAGAGCCAUCAGAACAAACCUACACUUUCAACCUACUUUUUCUGAGAGAGAACCACCUACACUUGUGUUCAGACCAAGAUAUUCCAUUCCUACCAUAUGAAUCUUGAUCUCUGAUACGUCUCCAACGUAUCUACUUUUCCAAACACUUUUGCCCUUGUUUUGGACUCUAACUUGCAUGAUUUGAAUGGAACUAACUCGGACUGACGCUGUUUUCAGCAGAAUUAUCAUGGUGUUAUUUAUGUGCAGGAGCAAACAUUCACGGAAUGACAUGACACUUCAUGGAGCCACUUUUCAGAAAAUAAGAAAAAUACCUGCAAAAGAUGAAGGCCAGGGGGCCCACCACCUCUCCACGAGGGUGGGGGCGCGCCCCCUACCUCGUGGGCCCCCUGUUGCCUCUCUGACUCCAACUCCAUAUAUUGUGUUUCGGGGAGAGAAAAAUCAGAGAGAAGAAAUCAUCGCGUUUUACAAUACGGAGCCGCCGCCAAGCCCUAAAACCUCUCGAGAGGGCAGAUCUGGAGUCCGUUCGGGGCUCCGGAGAGGGGAAUCCGUCGCCAUCAUCAUCAUCAACCAUCCUCCAUCACCAAUUUCAUGAUGCUCACCGCCAUGCGUGAGUAAUUCCAUCAUAGGCUUGCUGGACGGUGAUGGGUUGGAUGGGAUCUAUCAUGUAAUCGAGUUAGUUUUGUUAGGGUUUGAUCCCUAGUGUCCACUAUGUUCUGAGAUUGAUGUUGCUAUGACUUUGCUAUGCUUAAUGCUUGUCACUAGGGCCCGAGUGCCAUGAUUUCAGAUCUGAACCUAUUAUGUUUUCAUCAAUAUAUGAGUGUUCUUGAUCCUAUCUUGCAAGUCUAUAGUCACCUAUUAUGUGUUAUGAUCCGUUAACCCCGAAGUGACAAUAAUCGGGAUACUUACCGGUGAUGACUGUAGUUUGAGGAGUUCAUGUAUUCACUAUGUGUGAAUGCUUUGUUCCGGUUCUCUAUUAAAAGGAGGCCUUAAUAUCCCUUAGUUUCUGUAAGGACCCCGCUGCCAUGGGAGGGUAGGACAAAAGAUGUCAUGCAAGUUCUUUUCCAUAAGCACGCAUGACUAUGUUCAGAAUACAUGCCUACAUUAUAUCAAUGAACUGGAGCUAGUUCCGUGUCACCCUAGGUUAUGACUGUUACAUGAUGAACUGCAUCCGACAUAAUUCUCCAUCACUGAUCCAUUGCCUACGAGCUUUCCAUAUAUUGUUCUUUGCUUAUUUACUUUCCCGUUGCUAUUGUUAUCAUCACUACAAAAUACCAAAAACAUUACUUUUACUACUGUUACCUUUUGUUACUGUUAUCACUACUAUCAUAUUGAUAUUACUUUGCUACUAAACACUUCGCUGCAGAUAUUAAGUUUCCAGGUGUGGUUGAAUUGACAACUCAACUGCUAAUACUUGAGAAUAUUCUUUGGCUCCCCUUGUGUCGAAUCAACAAAUUUGGGUUGAAUACUCUACCCUCGAAAACUGUUGCGAUCCCCUAUACUUGUGGGUUAUCAAGACUAUUUUAUGGCGCCGUUGCCGGGGAGCAUAGCUCUAUUCUUUGAGUCACUUGGGAUAUAUAUCUGCUUAUCAUUAUGAAGAACUUGAGAGAUCCAAAAACCAAGUUCUAUCCCUCAACUACGAGGGGAGGUAAGGAACUGCCAUCUAGCUCUGCACUUGAUUCACCUUCUGUUAUGAGUAAGUUUGCGACACCUACACCUGCUUCUGCUAUUCGUUCUGAUAUGUCGCAUGUUAUUGAUGAUGCCACUUCUGCUAUGCAUGAUACUUAUGAUGAAACUACCUCUAUGUCUGAUACUACUGUGCCACUUAGUGAUUUUCAUGAUGAACAACUUGCUAGGGCUAGAGAGAUUGAAAAUAUUGAAUCUGAUGAUACUGAUGAAAGUGAUGAUGAAGAAUCACUUGUUAUUCCUAAGGGUUAUGUUUUUGAUCAAGAAGCUUCUUUCACUAUUUUAGCUUGCAAAAAUAGAAAUGAACUCAAAAGGUUAUUAGGUAAAUGGAGUAAGCAAUCUCUAAAUGCUAGAAUGAAACCUGACCCUGCUUUUGCUACCUCACUUAUCUUUGUUACUGAUAAGGAUUAUGAAUUCUCUGUUGAUCCUGAUAUAAUUAGUUUGGUUGAAUCUGAUCCUUUUCAUGGUUAUGAAUCUGAAACUGUUGUGGCAUAUCUUACUAAAUUAAAUGAUAUAGCUACCAUGUUCACUAAAGAUGAGAGAACUCGUUACUUUUACAUCCUCAAAAUAUUUCCGUUCUCAUUAAAGGGUGAUGCUAAGAUAUGGUUUAAUUCUCUUGAUCCUGGUUGUGUGCAUAGCCCCCAGGAUAUGUUUUAUUACUUCUCUGCUAAAUAUUUCUCUGCUCAUAAGAAACAAGCUGCUUUAAGGGAUAUAUAUAAUUUUGUGCAAAUUGAAGAAGAGAGUCUCCCACACGCUUGGGGGAGGCUUCUCCAAUUACUUAAUGCUUUGCCUGAUCAUCCUCUUAAGAAAAAUGAAAUACUUGAUAUCUUUUAUAAUGGACUAACUGAUGCCUCCAGAGAUUACCUGGAUAGUUGUGCUGGUUCUGUUUUCAGGGAAAGAACACCGGAUGAAGCUGAAAUUCUAUUGAAUAAUAUGUUGACAAAUGAAAAUAAUUGGACACCUCCGGGGCCAAUUCCUGAGCCUAUUCCUAAACCAACUCCGAAGAAGAGGGGUAUUCUAUUUCUCAGUCCUGAAGAUAUGCGAGAGGCAAAGAAAUCUAUGAACGAAAAAGGUAUUAAAGCUGAAGAUGUUAAGAAUUUACCUCCUAUUGAAGAAAUACAUGGUCUUAAUUUACCGCCUGUUGAAGAAACAUAUGAUCUUAAUCCAUUACCUAUUGAAGAAACUCAUGGUCUUGAUAACCCGACACAGGUAGUAAAGGUAAAUUCUCUCUAUAGAUAUGAUAAAGCUGAAAUCCCAUUUACUAAAUUUGCUAGCCCAUGCUUAGAUGAGUUUGAUAAAUUUAUGGCUAAGCAAGAAGAUUUUAAUGCUUAUUUUGGUAGACAAUUGAAAUACAAUUCAAAUAUGCUUGAACACUUGGGUGAUUAUAUGGCUAAUGUUAAAGGUGAACUUAAACUUAUUAGUAAACAUGCUUCUAUGGUUACCACUCAAGUAGAACAAGUACUUAAAGCUCAAAAUGAUUUGCUCAAUGAAUUGAAUAGUAAAGAUAAUGAUAAUGUUGUUAGAGUAGCAACUAGAACUGGUAGAAUGACUCAGGAACCUUUGUAUCCUGAAGGCCACCCUAAGAGAAUUGAGCAAGAUUCUCAGAGAAAUAAUAUAGACGCACCUAGUCCUUCUAAAAAGAAGAAAAAGAAAAAUGAUAAAAUUUUGCAUGCUUCUAGUGAUCCUAUUGUUGAAAUACCUGAGAAUCCAAAUGAUAUUUCUAUUUCUGAUGCUGAAACACAAUUUGGUAAUGAACCUGAAACUAGUGGUAAUGCUAAUGAUAAUGUUCAUGAUGAUGCUCAACCUAGUAAUGAUAAUGAUAUAGAAAUUGAACCUGCUGUUGAUCUUGAUAACCCACAAUCAAAGAAUCAACGUUAUGAUAAAAAAGACUUUGUUGCUAGGAAACAUGGUAAAGAAAGAGAGCCUUGGGUUCAGAAACCCAUGCCUUUUCCUCCCAAACUAUCCAAGAAAAAGGAUGAUGAGGAUUUUGAGCACUUUGCUGAAAUGAUUAGACCUAUCUUUUUGCGUAUGCGAUUAACUGGUAUGCUCAAAACCAAUCCUUAUGCUAAGUACAUGAAAGAUAUUAUUACAAAUAAAAGAAAGAUACCGGAAGCUAAAAUUUCCACCAUGCUUGCUAAUUAUACUUUUAAAGGUGGAAUACCAAAGAAACUUGGAGAUCCAGGAGUACCCACUAUACCAUGCUCCAUUAAAAGAAACUAUGUUAAAACUGCUUUAUGUGAUCUUGGAGCCGGUGUUAGUGUUAUGCCUCUCUCUUUAUAUCGUAGACUUGAUUUGAAUAAGUUGACACCUACUGAAAUAUCUUUGCAAAUGGAUGAUAAAUCAACUGCUAUACAUGUCGGUAUUUGUGAGGAUGUGCCUAUUGUAGUUGCAAACGUUACUAUUUUAACGGACUUUGUUAUUCUUGAUUUUCCCGAGGACGAUAGUAUGUCUAUUAUUCUUGGAAGACCCUUUUUGAAUACUACAGGGGCUGUUAUUGAUUGCACUAAAGGCAAUGUCACUUUCAUGUUAAUGGUAAUGAGCAUACGGUACACUUUCCGAGGAAACAACCUCAAGUUCAUAGUAUCAACUCUAUUGGAAAAAUUCCAUCGAUUAUAUUUGGAGGUUUUGAAUUUCCUCUUCCUACUGUCAAGAAGAAAUAUGAUAUUCUUAUUUGUGGGGAUGUGCAUAUCCCUGUUGAGGUAACAUAGUGUUAUUCGAAAUUUCUCGGGUUCCAUGUUAUUCGGAAUGAGUUCGUUAACAAGACUUGAUCAACCUUGUUAGAGGAUUCCUUUUGAUGAUCAUGAGAUGGAUGAAACUAGAAGGCACAACUCUCUGUACCCCACUUUUACUUUCUGUUAUUUAUAUUAAAUAAAAUAAAAAUAAAUAUUUUUCUGUCUGUUAUCUGAUUAUCCGUGCAAUAUAAAAAUACCUCGAAAAUAAAAGUUCUCCAAAUGCCCUAAAAUUUAAAUAUGAUUUUUUCUAGAAUAUUUGAGAAUAUUUGGCACUGAGAACAUAUCAGGGGGGUCAGCCACCUGCCCACGAGGGUGGAGGGCGCGCCCUACCCCCUGGGCGCGCCCCCUGCCUCGUGGGCCCACGGUGGCCCUCCUCCACUUAUCCUUUCACCCGUACUUCUUCUUCCUCCCACAAACACGAAUAACCAGCUCAAACCCAAGUCCAAGCUCGUUUUGCUGCCAUUUUCGAUCUCCUUGCUCAAAGAACCUCUCACAAAACUGCUUGGGGAGAUUGUUCCUUGGUAUGUGACUCCUCCAUUGGUCCAAUUAGUUUUUGUUCUAGUGUUUUAUUCAUUGCAAAUUUUUGCUGCUUAAGUGACCCUGUUCUUGAGCUUGCAUGUCAUUUAUAUGGUCAAAAGUAGUUUUGAUGCAUGAUAUAGGCCCUAGGCACUUGUAGGAGUAGUUGCUAUCAAUAUUAUUGAGUUUGGUUUACUUUUAGUUUGAAGUUACUAAAAAAAUUCAGAAUUUUUCAGAGGAAGAAAAAUGCUUAGGAAAAUGUUCCAAGGUGGUUCUUCAAGGAAGCAAGGACCCAGGCUUGCAAUGCGUGAUGCUGAUGACGAGCCACCAAGAGACGCUCUAGUGCGUCCUUGUGAAUGGCCUUUUGAGAAAUUUAUGGAUCGAGCGUGAAUUAAGGAAGAAUUCAAUGCAUAUUUGCGUAACGCUAAUCUUGUGAGCUUCGAGGAAGAGAAGUGCAGCCAGUAUCACAACCUCACCAGUACCUUUGUGAGGAGGUUUGAAAUUUCAACUUCACGUAAUUCUCCAACUGUCCUGUUUGAUCUUUAUGAUAAAUCUUACACUAUGGACUUAGAGGAUUUUACCACUGCAUGCAAACUUCCACAAUGGGGUAGUAUAAGGGAUCCUCGCAAAUAUGAAUUUAGAGAUUUUCUUGCUAGCAUAACUGUGGGAGAAUCUAGAUAUAUUACACAAGCUACCAUAGGGAGCAUUCACUUUCCUGCUAUAUAUUAUUUUACUCUCUUCAUAGGUAGAUGUGUCAAUGGUAAAGAUGAGGCAUGUCACAUGUGUGUCCCUGACCUCAGUAUUCUUAGCAGUGCUGUGUUAGGAGACCAAUCUUAUAAUUUGAGAGCCAUUGUUGCAUGUAGGUUGCAUCUUAAUAGAUUUAAUGGUGAUUUCUUUGGAGGAAUUUAUGCAACCCGCAUAGCUAAUUUUCUUGGUAUAGCCAUACGCGAAGAUGAUAUUGAAUUACCUCCUGCUUAUCUAGAUUUUAAUGCUAUGGUUCACCACCAGUUUGUCGAGAGGAACGAAUCACCUCUCCAGUAUCGACUAAUCUUUGACAGACGUCGUGCUGUCCAUAUUACUCUCCCUGCUCCUGCCUUCUUUGAUUAUCAUGCAAGAGGAAGAUAUACCAUUACCAGAGAGGAGGCAGAUGAGUACGAGAGGAGAUAUGAGGCCGCUCAUCGCCACGCUGCAGCUCAGCAGGCAAUAGCCGCUGCAUCUUAGUACGACCCCAGCUACUAUUAUGGAUAUCCGCCAGGCCAGCUGUGGCCAUAGACCAACUUAGGCAAAAAGCCUAAGCUUGGGGGAGUACGUAUUUCCCACCGACAUUACAUUUAUGUUCACACACUCAUUGCUAGAUGUCGGUGCUCAUACUUUUUCAUUGUAUCAUCCAUGCUAGUUUAUUUUCCUUUUUAUGCUUUCUUCUUGUGUGUUUAAUAAACCUUAAGAAAAACCAAAAAAAAAUA